rnacentral:rRNA from 1 species
GAUGAACGCUAGCGGCAGGCCUAAUACAUGCAAGUCGAACGGUGUCUUCGGACAUAGUGGCGCACGGGUGCGUAACACGUAUGCAACCUACCUUACAUUGGGGGAUAGCCUUUCGAAAGGGAGAUUAAUACCGCAUAAGACAGUAGCUGGGCAUCCAGCAGCUGUUAAAGAUUUACCGAUGUAAGCAGGGCAUGCGUCCAAUUAGCUAGUUGGUGAGGUAACGGCUCACCAAGGCAAUGAUUGGUAGGGGAACUGAGAGGUCAAUCCCCCACACUGGCACUGAGAUACGGGCCAGACUCCUACGGGAGGCAGCAGUAGGGAAUAUUGGGCAAUGGACGCAAGUCUGACCCAGCCAUGCCGCGUGCAGGAUGAAGGCGUUAUGCGUUGUAAACUGCUUUUAUACAGGAAGAAACGACUCUUGCGAGAGGCAUUGACGGUACUGUAUGAAUAAGCACCGGCUAACUCCGUGCCAGCCGCCGCAGUAAAAC